UGAAUGAGUGGAAUCAGUGACUCAGACAAAGCCACUGUUGCACAACUGUAUGCAUGCACAGUGAACUCUGCAGACUCUGCAGAUGGUUCCUGUAAAUAGCGCUUAAAACCACAGUGGAAAAGCCACAUGCUCCUGAUACACUUGGGGGGACAUAAAGGGAAACCCACACACCCAAGGAGGAGGGCUCUGGCCAUGCAAGGCUGAAGGCCCAGUGUACUGAUAUGAAAACUGAAGCUCAGACAGAAGAGGCGACGUUGCUUUCUUAACCACUGGAUUUGCAGUGCUGUGGUUCUCAGAAGAGGCCAGGACAGGUUAAUCCACUCACUUGGGAGGCAGCCGGUGCAGAGCUGAGAAUUUACCCCAGGCUACCAGCCUUCCGGCUGAGAGAGCAAGCUGACGCACGGUUCCUCAGCUGUCCCAUGGAGCCUGUUGCGGCCAUCCACCUCCUUCAAAGGGUUGAAUGUACAGCUGGUAUAAAAAUGGUGCUUUGUCGUCAUGAAGAAGGUGUAUUCUGGGAUCAAACCACCUGGCUGGAGAUGCUUACUAACCUCAGUUUCUUCAUCUGACCUUACCUUUCUAAAAGAAUAAGAAGAAGAUGAUACAUAUUCCUCUAAAGUCCCAACAGGAACCUUUUCCCCUCACUCCCUCCCCAGAGAUGUGUAUCAUUUCCAUGAGUGUCUGUACUUUUACAACAUGUGCAUAUUAAUAAACAAAAUAUGACAAAUUAUUUUGUCUUAAUAUUUGCAUAAAUCUAGCCAUACUCUACACCACUUUUGCAACUUUCACUAUUAUAUAUUUUGAAGAUUAUCCGUGUUUAUGCACAUAAGUUUAUCAUUUUAACUGUUGAAUAGUGUUUCAUUAUAUGAAUUAACCAUAAUUCAUCUAUUUCCCUGAGUGACAAUUAGGUUUCUUUUUGUUUUUAUGCUCUGAUGAACAAUCUUGCAAUUAUUAUCUUUGUAUAUGUCUUCAUGUAUAAGAAAUUCUCCAGGGUAGACACUUAGAAGUAAAGGGUCUGACUCAGAGAGUCUGUGUAUUUUAAAAUGUAUUGGUUAUUGUCAAAUUGUUCCUCAAAGUAGAUGUACCAAUUUACAUUCCUACAGUGGUAUAUAACAGUUUUUUUUUCUCCACAUCCUCUUCAACACUCGUCAUUACCAG
rnacentral:lncRNA from 10 species